GACGAACGCUGGCGGCGUGCCUAAUACAUGCAAGUCGAGCGCGGGAAGCGAGCUGAUCCCCUUCGGGGGUGACGCUCGUGGAACGAGCGGCGGACGGGUGAGUAACACGUGGGCAACCUGCCUGUAAGAUCGGAAUAACUCCGGGAAACCGGAGCUAAUGCCGGGUAACAUGUUCCUUCGCAUGAAGGAACAUUAAAAGAUGGCUUCUUGCUAUCACUUACAGAUGGGCCCGCGGCGCAUUAGCUAGUUGGUGAGGUAACGGCUCACCAAGGCAACGAUGCGUAGCCGACCUGAGAGGGUGAUCGGCCACACUGGGACUGAGACACGGCCCAGACUCCUACGGGAGGCAGCAGUAGGGAAUCUUCCGCAAUGGACGAAAGUCUGACGGAGCAACGCCGCGUGAACGAUGAAGGUCUUCGGAUCGUAAAGUUCUGUUGUUAGGGAAGAACAAGUACCGUGCGAAUAGAGCGGUACCUUGACGGUACCUAACGAGGAAGCCCCGGCUAACUACGUGCCAGCAGCCGCAGUAAAAC
rnacentral:rRNA from 1 species